UGUGCUGAGGAGCUGCCAGGUACAUUAACUCUUGUCAACUUAAGGGAGAUUUGUUAUAAGUGAAGCUGACUCCUUCGUAAGAAGUUCAGGCUGAGCCUUGACACUUAAUCUAAAUACUGAAGCUGAGGAGAUUUUACUGGAGGAAUCCCCACGUGAAGGAGGAGAAAGGUUGGUUUGCAGGACCAACUGUCUGGCAUGUUGACUUGGGCUCCUGUGUGCUUCCCAUCCCAAGCUUUGCAGUGCCUUGCUGUGGAAAUAAGGUUUUUCUUCUUUUAAGAUAUCUGCCCCUCUUCUGAGGUAUGCUUG